rnacentral:rRNA from 1 species
UACGAAGGGGCUAGCGUUGUUCGGAUUUACUGGGCGUAAAGCGCACGUAGGCGGAUCUUUAAGUCAGAGGUGAAAUCCCAAGGCUCAACCUUGGAACUGCCUUGAUACUGGAGAUCUUGAGUCCGGGAGAGGUGAGUGGAACUGCGAGUGUAGAGGUGAAAUUCGUAGAUAUUCGCAAGAACACCAGUGGCGAAGGCGGCUCACUGGCCCGGUACUGACGCUGAGGUGCGAAAGCGUGGGAGCAACAGGG